GACGAACGCUGGCGGCGUGCUUUACACAUGCAAGUCGAACGGAAAGGCCCUGCUUUUGUGGGGUGCUCGAGUGGCGAACGGGUGAGUAACACGUGAGUAACCUGCCCUUGACUUUGGGAUAACUUCAGGAAACUGGGGCUAAUACCGGAUAGGAGCUCCUGCUGCAUGGUGGGGGUUGGAAAGUUUCGGCGGUUGGGGACGGACUCGCGGCUUAUCAGCUUGUUGGUGGGGUAGUGGCUUACCAAGGCUUUGACGGGUAGCCGGCCUGAGAGGGUGACCGGCCACAUUGGGACUGAGAUACGGCCCAGACUCCUACGGGAGGCAGCAGUGGGGAAUAUUGCACAAUGGGCGGAAGCCUGAUGCAGCAACGCCGCGUGCGGGAUGACGGCCUUCGGGUUGUAAACCGCUUUCGCCUGUGACGAAGCGUGAGUGACGGUAAUGGGUAAAGAAGCACCGGCUAACUACGUG
rnacentral:rRNA from 1 species